GUAGGUGGCAAGCGUUGUCCGGAAUUAUUGGGCGUAAAGCGCGCGCAGGCGGCUCUUUAAGUCUGAUGUGAAAGCCCACGGCUCAACCGUGGAGGGUCAUUGGAAACUGGAGAACUUGAGUACAGAAGAGGAAAGCGGAAUUCCACGUGUAGCGGUGAAAUGCGUAGAGAUGUGGAGGAACACCAGUGGCGAAGGCGGCUUUCUGGUCUGUAACUGACGCUGAGGCGCGAAAGCGUGGGGGGGAGCAAACAGGAUUAGAUACCCUGGUAGUCCACGCCGUAAACGAUGAGUGCUAAGUGUUAGGGGGUUUCCGCCCCCCCCUUAGUGCUGCAGCUAACGCAUUAAGCACUCCGCCUGGGAGUACGGCCGCAAGGCUG
rnacentral:rRNA from 1 species